rnacentral:rRNA from 1 species
AACGUAGGAGACAAACGUUAUCCGGAGUUACUGGGCGUAAAGGGCGUGCAGGUGGCUGAAUAAGUUCGGCGUGAAAUUUCCCGGCUUAACCGGGGGAUGUCGUCGGAGACUGUUUGGCUAGAGGGUGAUAGAGGCGUGUGGAAUUCCGGGUGUAGUGGUGAAAUGCGUAGAGAUCCGGAGGAACACCAGUGGCGAAGGCGACACGCUGGGUCAUACCUGACACUAAAACGCGACAGCAUGGGGAGCGAACGGG